GAUGAACGCUAGCGGCAGGCUUAACACAUGCAAGUCGAGGGGCAGCGCGGGAUAGCAAUAUCCUGGCGGCGACCGGCGGAAGGGUGCGUAACGCGUGAGCGACAUGCCCGUUGCCCGGGGACAACCGGUGGAAACGCCGACUAAUCCCCGAUGGGAUACGAUGCUUCAUGGCAUUGUAUUGAAAGUUACGGCGGCGACGGAUUGGCUCGCGUCCGAUUAGCUGGUUGGCGGGGUAACGGCCCACCAAGGCUGCGAUCGGUAGGGGUUCUGAGAGGAAGGCCCCCCACAAUGGGACUGAGACACGGCCCAUACUCCGACGGGAGGCAGCAGUGAGGAAUAUUGGUCAAUGGGCGGAAGCCUGAACCAGCCAUGCCGCGUGCGGGAAGGAGGCCCUAUGGGCUGUGAACCGCUUUUGCCUGGGGGCAAUAAGGGCGUCGCGCACGUCCGAUGAGAGUACCAGGCGAAUAAGCAUCGGCUAACUCCGUG
rnacentral:rRNA from 1 species